rnacentral:lncRNA from 1 species
UUCUUAUUAUCUUUGCUGUCCUGUCCUCCCUGGAUGGGUGCUGACACAUUUCUUGCCUGCUGGUCCGUGGUUGCACUCUCACCAUGUGGAUGGAGCUCGGCAACUGAAAAUGCAUUCUGCCACCGAGAUGAUUUACACAGCCUAGCGUGAUCAGGAGCCCCCUAAUAAGCUGCUCCCGAUUGUAAUAUAGACACAGUAAUGUACGCCUGCAGGCGGACUCCCACCUUCCUCGUUACUCUUGAGGUUUGAGAUUCCCUGUUUGUGUCUGCAGGAUUCAGAUAGUAAUGGAUAUCCUACAAGCCGACUUCGUAGAGUCUCCCUUGAAAGUGGACCUCGUGAUCUAGCCUUUAUGUCCGUGGAUAGACACUGUUGUAUAUAUACACUUCCUCGGUUUCGAGAUUCCUGCUCUGGUGGUUGUAGUCAUAAGAUAUACAUAGUUGUGUAGUCAUUGCUCACAUCUUGGUUGUGGGCACACACACUAGUGUUGAAUUACCACCUUGUCCAAGUGGAUGGAUGCCCUCAAUGGGAUUGGCACAUUCUCCAUUGCUCCUGCGCUCUGUUAUCAGCACUUCGGGUUUAUAAUGUACACACAGCAACAGAUGCCUUCCUCACUGGUCACCAGGUUCACGGUCCCUCAUAUGUGUCCGGUGCAUAGUCACCAAAAAAGGCCAACUUCAGAUCAAUGGGUGGAUCGGAUUGUACCUCGGCCUAAGCUCCAGGGUUGAUUGUGCUGUUACAGUCACAGCUACAACC